rnacentral:rRNA from 1 species
AGGGCACCACCAGGAGUGGAGCCUGCGGCUUAAUUUGACUCAACACGGGAAAACUCACCCGGCCCGGACACCGUAAGGAUUGACAGAUUGAGAGCUCUUUCUUAAUUCGGUGGGUGGUGGUGCAUGGCCGUUCUUAGUUGGUGGAGCGAUUUGUCUGGUUAAUUCCGAUAACGAACGAGACUCUGGCCUAUUAAAUAGACGGCGUAUCGAAACGUACGUCGAGCUUCUUAGAGGGACAAGCGGCGUCUAGCCGCAUGAAAUAGAGCAAUAACAGGUCUGUGAUGCCCUUAGAUGUCCGGGGCUGCACGCGCGCUACACUGAAAGAAUCAGCGUGCGCGUACGCCUGGUUCGGAAGGACCGGGUAACCCGAUGAAAUUCUUUCGUGCUUGGGAUAGGGAAUUGCAAUUAUUUCCCUUGAACGAGGAAUUCCCAGUAAAUGCGGGUCAUAAGCUCGCGUUGAUUACGUCCCUGCCCUUUGUACACACCGCCCGUCGCUACUACCGACUGGACGAUUUCAUG